AUUUUAGCAUAACUAUAUCCCAUGCAAUAUUUGGGAUAUACUUAUAUUAAAA
rfam:Myotis davidii contig41491, whole genome shotgun sequence.